GUUUUAAUAGUUUAAAAUAGAAUGUAACUUUGAAGCAGUUAAGGUUAGCUUUAUGGCUGUUAAAAUG
rnacentral:tRNA from 1 species